rnacentral:rRNA from 1 species
GGGUUGUGAGGUUAAGCGACUAAGCGUACACGGUGGAUGCCCUGGCAGUCAGAGGCGAUGAAGGGCGUGCUAAUCUGCGAUAAGCGCCGGUAAGGUGAUAUGAACCGUUAUAACCGGCGAUACCCGAAUGGGGAAACCCAGUGUGAUUCGUCACACUAUCAUUAACUGAAUCCAUAGGUUAAUGAGGCGAACCGGGGGAACUGAAACAUCUAAGUACCCCGAGGAAAAGAAAUCAACCGAGAUUCCCCCAGUAGCGGCGAGCGAACGGGGAGGAGCCCAGAGCCUGAAUCAGCAUGUGUGUUAGUGGAAGCGUCUGGAAAGGUGCGCGAUACAGGGUGACAGCCCCGUACACAAAAGCGCAUGUGCUGUGAGCUCGAUGAGUAGGGCGGGACACGUGGUAUCCUGUCUGAAUAUGGGGGGGGACCAUCCUCCAAGGCUAAAUACUCCUGACUGACCGAUAGUGAACCAGUACCGUGAGGAAAGGCGAAAAGAACCCCGGCGAGGGGAGUGAAAAAGAACCUGAAACCGUGUACGUACAAGCAGUGGGAGCACAGGUUUACCUGUGUGACUGCGUACCUUUUGUAUAAUGGGUCAGCGACUUAUAUUCUGUAGCAAGGUUAACCGUAUAGGGGAGCCGGAGGGAAACCGAGUCUUAAUUGGGCGUUAAGUUGCAGGGUAUAGACCCGAAACCCGGUGAUCUAGCCAUGGGCAGGUUGAAGGUUGGGUAACACUAACUGGAGGACCGAACCGACUAAUGUUGAAAAAUUAGCGGAUGACCUGUGGCUGGGGGUGAAAGGCCAAUCAAACCGGGAGAUAGCUGGUUCUCCCCGAAAGCUAUUUAGGUAGCGCCUCGUGAAUUCAUCUCCGGGGGUAGAGCACUGUUUCGGCUAGGGGGCCAUCCCGGCUUACCAACCCGAUGCAAACUGCGAAUACCGGAGAAUGUUAUCACGGGAGACACACGGCGGGUGCUAACGUCCGUCGUGAAGAGGGAAACAACCCAGACCGCCAGCUAAGGUCCCAAAGUCAUGGUUAAGUGGGAAACGAUGUGGGAAGGCCCAGACAGCCAGGAUGUUGGCUUAGAAGCAGCCAUCAUUUAAAGAAAGCGUAAUAGCUCACUGGUCGAGUCGGCCUGCGCGGAAGAUGUAACGGGGCUAAACCAUGCACCGAAGCUGCGGCAGCGAACGUAUCACCCAAGACAACUUUACGGAGUUGACGAUUGACGGAGCGAAGCGACGUCAAAGCGUUCAUUAAAGUCGAGUUGGCUUAGGGAUACGUUCGUUGGGUAGGGGAGCGUUCUGUAAGCCUGUGAAGGUGUGUCGUGAGGCAUGCUGGAGGUAUCAGAAGUGCGAAUGCUGACAUAAGUAACGAUAAAGCGGGUGAAAAGCCCGCUCGCCGGAAGACCAAGGGUUCCUGUCCAACGUUAAUCGGGGCAGGGUGAGUCGACCCCUAAGGCGAGGCCGAAAGGCGUAGUCGAUGGGAAACGGGUUAAUAUUCCCGUACUUGGUGUUACUGCGAAGGGGGGACGGAGAAGGCUAUGUUGGCCGGGCGACGGUUGUCCCGGUUUAAGCGUGUAGGUGUGUGUUCCAGGUAAAUCCGGUUCACUUUAACACUGAGGCGUGACGACGAGGCACUACGGUGCUGAAGCAACAAAUGCCCUGCUUCCAGGAAAAGCCUCUAAGCAUCAGGUAACAUCAAAUCGUACCCCAAACCGACACAGGUGGUCAGGUAGAGAAUACCAAGGCGCUUGAGAGAACUCGGGUGAAGGAACUAGGCAAAAUGGUGCCGUAACUUCGGGAGAAGGCACGCUGACACGUAGGUGAAGUGAUUUACUCAUGGAGCUGAAGUCAGUCGAAGAUACCAGCUGGCUGCAACUGUUUAUUAAAAACACAGCACUGUGCAAACACGAAAGUGGACGUAUACGGUGUGACGCCUGCCCGGUGCCGGAAGGUUAAUUGAUGGGGUCAGCGCAAGCGAAGCUCCUGAUCGAAGCCCCGGUAAACGGCGGCCGUAACUAUAACGGUCCUAAGGUAGCGAAAUUCCUUGUCGGGUAAGUUCCGACCUGCACGAAUGGCGUAAUGAUGGCCCAGGCUGUCUCCACCCGAGACUCAGUGAAAUUGAACUCGCUGUGAAGAUGCAGUGUACCCGCGGCAAGACGGAAAGACCCCGUGAACCUUUACUAUAGCUUGACACUGAACAUUGAGCCUUGAUGUGUAGGAUAGGUGGGAGGCUUUGAAGUGUGGACGCCAGUCUGCAUGGAGCCGACCUUGAAAUACCACCCUUUAAUGUUUGAUGUUCUAACGUGGACCCGUAAUCCGGGUUGCGGACAGUGUCUGGUGGGUAGUUUGACUGGGGCGGUCUCCUCCUAAAGAGUAACGGAGGAGCACGAAGGUUGGCUAAUCCGGUCGGACAUCAGGAGGUUAGUGCAAUGGCAUAAGCCAGCUUGACUGCGAGCGUGACGGCGCGAGCAGGUGCGAAAGCAGGUCAUAGUGAUCCGGUGGUUCUGAAUGGAAGGGCCAUCGCUCAACGGAUAAAAGGUACUCCGGGGAUAACAGGCUGAUACCGCCCAAGAGUUCAUAUCGACGGCGGUGUUUGGCACCUCGAUGUCGGCUCAUCACAUCCUGGGGCUGAAGUAGGUCCCAAGGGUAUGGCUGUUCGCCAUUUAAAGUGGUACGCGAGCUGGGUUUAGAACGUCGUGAGACAGUUCGGUCCCUAUCUGCCGUGGGCGCUGGAGAACUGAGGGGGGGCUGCUCCUAGUACGAGAGGACCGGAGUGGACGCAUCACUGGUGUUCGGGUUGUCAUGCCAAUGGCACUGCCCGGUAGCUAAAUGCGGAAGAGAUAAGUGCUGAAAGCAUCUAAGCACGAAACUUGCCCCGAGAUGAGUUCUCCCUGAGACUUAGAGUCUCCUGAAGGAACGUUGAAGACGACGACGUUGAUAGGCCGGGUGUGUAAGCGCAGCGAUGCGUUGAGCUAACCGGUACUAAUGAACCGUGAGGCUUAACCUUACAACGCCGAAG